AGAAUCAACGCUGGCGGCGUGCCUAACACAUGCAAGUCGAACGAGAAAGUGGGAGCAAUCCCACGAGUAAAGUGGCGCACGGGUGAGUAACACGUGACUAACCUACCCUUGAGUGGGGGAUAACCUAGGGAAACCUGGGCUAAUACCGCAUAAUACCUACGGGUCAAAGGAGCAAUUCGCUUUAGGAGGGGGUCGCGGCAGAUUAGUUGGUUGGCGGGGUAAUGGCCCACCAAGACAGUGAUCUGUA
rnacentral:rRNA from 1 species